rnacentral:lncRNA from 1 species
CGAGUCUAAUCCUCUCUAGUCCUUGCAACUACAUCUGAACGUCUUGGGGGCAGCGAGUCCCCAGGAGUCGGGUCCCGCGGCACUUGGCAGAGCUGACGGCCGCCGUGCCCGGUGGCCCACGUGGGCGCGCUUGGCGGAGCUGGGCGGGGAAGGCCGCGGGUCCUCCCCGGAGCAGGGCGCGGGGGAGGAGCGGGGAGCCCCGGCAGCGAGGGGGCGGCGACUGCGUUGGGAAGGAGGCUGCACGCGGAGCUGCGUGAAACGUAGACUUGGGAGCGGGCGGGAGAGGAGCGGGGAGCACGGCUGCACGGCCCUGGCCGGUCCUGCAAGGCGGCGAUCGCAGGGGGAGGAGCAGCAGCGCUGCAGAGGCGGAGGGAUCUGCGCACCAAAGCCAUCCAGGCCAGCAAAGUUUGGCUGGGGGUUGGACUUUCCUUCUCGGAGGCGGCACCCAAACAGCUACCCCGUGCGGAAACCCAAACUUUCUACUGGCACUCGGAGUCUCGCGGCCG